UACAGAGGUCCCAAGCGUUGUUCGGAUUCACUGGGCGUAAAGGGUGCGUAGGUGGUUAGGUAAGUCUGAUGUGAAAUCUCUGGGCUCAACCCAGAAACUGCAUUGGAUACUAUCUAGCUAGAGGAGUGGAGGGGGGACUGGAAUACUUGGUGUAGCAGUGAAAUGCGUAGAUAUCGGGAGGAACACCGGUGGCGAAGGCGGUUCUCUGGGCCUUACCUGACGCUGAGGAGCGAAAGCGUGGGGAGCGAACAGG
rnacentral:rRNA from 1 species